CACACCCGUUCCCAUACCGAACACGGAAGUUAAGCUCUCUAGCGCCGAUGGUAGUUGGGACCUUGUCCCUGUGAGAGUAGGACGUUGCCAGGC
rnacentral:rRNA from 5 species